rnacentral:lncRNA from 1 species
GGGGACAACAGCUCCACUCCAGUAAUUCAGCAUGGGCCCUGAGGGAGAAGUAAAGCCUGCAUUACCCUGAGAUGAGGUCUUUUGCUUAGGAGCAUCCAGCCUGUCCCCUGUGCUGCAGUUGUGAAUGGCCCCGCAGCAGGGACAUUCUGUUUCUCAAGAUUUGCUGUAGAGACAAAUCUGAAGCAAUCCAUAUGCCAACUGGCCCGUGUGGACACCCACCUGUUAAUGUCUUCAGCUGCAAAUGGUACUGAUGGAAGACCACGUGGAGAGGCAGGCCCACUAAACCCAGCCAUUCUGGCCAUCCUGGUUCAGACCCUUGGGGCAUCAGAGUUCACCCAAGACCAUCCUGUUUCAGCCAAGCCACCAGCUGGAUGAAUUCAGAACUCGGGUGAGCCCAAAAAGUGAACUGUCCAUUCAACUUGUAGCAUAAUGAAA